UGACUUGCUGUUGGGGAGGAAAAGGUUACCAAACCAACCGCUUGGGGAAGACCAACAAUGCUUCGCACUUUAGGAGUCACCUAUUCUCAAAUUGCUGUUGAUAUUCCUUAUUGAAAUUGAUUGCUUUUUUUUAAAGUAAUUUCUUUCAUUAUUUAAGAAAAAUGAUUUUUAAUAUUUAAUUUAUUCCAAAAUUGUCAUCAUAAAAUUCAAUUCUAUUUAGCUGAGAA
rnacentral:lncRNA from 1 species